AGGGGUGUAGCUCAUUGGUAAAGUGCUUACCUAUCAUGCCUGAGGCCCUGGGUUCAAUUCCCAGCACUGUCA
rnacentral:tRNA from 1 species